rnacentral:rRNA from 1 species
AGCCCAGCACCGAACCUCGCACCUUCGGGUGUCGCGGAAUGUGGUGUUUAGGAGGACCGUGCGCGUCUGUCCGGUAUCGUCCAAGUCUCCAUGAAUGGGGCCAGCAACCCAUAGAGGGUGUCAGGCCCGUGGGACGAGCCGCGACCGUGUAUUGGGUCUCUCCUUAGAGUCGGGUUGCUUGAGAGUGCAGCCCUAAGCGGGAGGUAAACUCCUUCUAAGGCUAAAUACGGCCACGAGACCGAUAGCGAACAAGUACCGCGAGGGAAAGUUGAAAAGAACUUUGAAGAGAGAGUUCAAUAGUGCGUGAAACCGUUCAGGGGGUUAAACGGGUGGGCCCUCGAAGGUCGAACGCUCCCUACUCCUGUUCCUGUAGGCUGGCACGUGCUGCUUUCCGAUCUCGCUACGAGACGGGGCUUGGUGCGGUAUGCCGGACUGCAGGGGCCGUUAGUUAGGGGGCCAGUAGGACUCCGCAACCGUCUGGGUAAGUCGUCAGAAGGGUUCUGGAGGAAGCCUCCUCUGGGGGUGAAAUCCGGGAUUCCGGGCGAUCUUCCCGGCCGUGAACCAGAAUUCCCCCGUCUGGCGUCUGGGACGAGUUUGCUGCGUCAAAAACAGUGAGCUGUCGGUUCUGGGCGUCACCGUGGGGACACCGCGGAGAGUAGAGUCGGGUCCCACCCGACCCGUCUUGAAACACGGACCAAGGAGUCUAACAUGUGCGCGAGUCGUCGGGUACUAUUAAACCCGAAGGCGCAAUGAAAGUGAAGACUGUGCCUCGUCGCCGGUCUAGGGGAGAUCCCGUUCUGCUUCGGUAGCUCGGGCGCAUCCCCGGGGCGUCGAAGCCGCGUUGCCGGCUAGACGAACCAAGAGCGUACACGUUGGGACCCGAA